rfam:Pan troglodytes isolate Yerkes chimp pedigree #C0471 (Clint) chromosome 19, whole genome shotgun sequence.
GUUUUACUGUAAGUAUAUCCCAUGCAACAUUUGGGAUAUACUUAUACUAAAA